AUCAACUUAUUUGCCUUCAAAGCUGGAGCGAGAUCGGUCUCCAAGGGGAGAGGUGGUGGAUGUUGCACCAUCUUCCAAAACAACAGAGGACGCACAGGCACGCCGAGAGAUUGGCCAGGACACUCUGGAAAGAAGUGUCUCUUCAGUGCUCAGGAGUGUUUGGUCUGGUUCCAAGGCUCAGCUUCUGGAGGAGUUUGAGAGGUCCCUCGACAGAGCUCCAACCCUCUGCAAAGCAGACACCACAUCCCUUUUGUUCGGAGGAGCGCGAAAACGGGGGACGCGCCAGGAGAGGGGCUGGAGGAAAACAAACGGCUUCAUUCAGGAGAACCAGUCCUGCAGAGAAAGGCAGAUCAACGCCAAGCAUCUGGAAGCCGAAGACGGAGAAAAUCCAAUUAAAAAUCAGGCAACGCUGCGAGUAGAACAAGCUAUGGAGUGAUGGAUUAUUCAUUCCACGAUGUCUUCAAUUCAAGAGAGGGGCAGAAUAAUCGAUCCUUCCAGCACUUCCACACUGACUGUUGAUGAUGAACACUCCAGCCCAACUUUUGGGAGCGUGCACAUUCCACCGCGAGAGCCCGGCCCUCACCUUGGCAAACUGCAAAGUUCCCAUGGAUGAUGGAGGACAAUCCACCAGCCCUACUAGGUAAGUUGUUUCAUGCUUGGAGGCAUUAAUAACCCAGAACUAGCAGCCAACUCCAUGGAAACCAACUGGUAGUCAGUGACAAGUUCUCCUGUUGCUAUAGGAACAGGGCCCAAACAAAUAAAAAUUACCUAUAAUUUCUCCUCCCCAAAGUUCUCCCACAUUACAUUUCCAUAGCAACUAAUUAGCUCGUUAUUGAUCAGAACCAAACCAGUG